rnacentral:lncRNA from 1 species
GCCAGUUAAGCGUUUGGAUCCACAAGUGAGGAGCCUUGAGGAACGAUUACAGUUGGAGAUACAGAUUUAGGAGUUUUAGGCAUACAGGUGGACCUAAAGCCAUGGGACUGCAUAAGGUCACCUAGGGAGAAUGUGUGGCUAGAGAAUGGUACAGGGCACAUCCCUAGAGAGUCCAAUGGAUUAUCAGAGAAGGAGAAACUAGCAGAGAAUAAAGAGAAGGAAAGACAUUGUUCUAAUCAUCAGUUAUCAUAUUGGACUGCAAUAUUCUCAGAAGCUACUGUAAUAUAAAAGGGAAUUUUCAUCCUUUGCAUCUCUGCCAACUUACUUGAGCCUGCUGCGCUUUUCCUGACUACACCUCCUCAUCCAAGCUAUGUUAAACCAUCUUUGCAUCCCUGGAGUAAAUUCCACUUGAUCUUGGUUUAUGAUCCUUUUAAGGCUACUAGUUGGCUGCUCAAGACAGUGGGAAGAUUCUGUUCAGGUCACUGGGAUGACAGGGAGAUUUCGCUUUCUGCAACUUGAGUGAAAGGUCACUGUUGGUAGCACAUCUGGACGAAGCGAAUGGAAUGGUGAGUUUUUAAAACGGCAGGAAGUUGCCACAAGAAGUAAUGAAUCCAUUUCAAAUAAUCAAGCAAAACGACAGAAUUCAUAACUAAACACUUGCAAAAAUGUUUC